rnacentral:rRNA from 1 species
ACGCUCGACACCUACGGGAGGCAGCAGUGGGAAUAUUGCACAAUGGGGAAACCCUGAUGCAGCGACGCCGCGUGGAGGAAGAAGGUCUUCGGAUUGUAAACUCCUGUUGUUGGGGAAAAAGAGGAUGGUACCCAACAAGGAAGUGACGGCUAACUACGUGCUAGCAGCCGCGGUAAUCUGAGCGGGCUGGCAAGGC